GGGGAGUACGGUNCCCNAGAUUAAAANUCCAAAUGAAUUGACGGGGGCCCCNCCCAAGCGGNGGAGCAUGUGGUUUAAUUCGAUGCAACGNGAAGACCCUUACCUACUCUGACAUCCCAGAGAACUUNCCAGAGAUGGAUUGGUGCCUUCNGGAANUCUGAGACCAGGUGCUGCAUGGCUGUCGUCAGCUCGUGUUGUGAAAUGUUGGGUUAAGUCCCGCAACGAGCGCAACCCUUAUCCUUGUUUGCCAGCGAGUAAUGUCGGGAACUCCAGGGAGACUGCCGGUGAUAAACCGGAGGAAGGUGGGGACGACGUCAAGUCAUCAUGGCCCUUACGAGUAGGGCUACACACGUGCUACAAUGGCGCAUACAGAGGGCAGCCAACUUGCGAGAGUGAGCGAAUCCCAAAAAGUGCGUCGUAGUCCGGAUCGGAGUCUGCAACUCGACUCCGUGAAGUCGGAAUCGCUAGUAAUCGUGGAUCAGAAUGCCACGGUGAAUACGUUCCCGGGCCUUGUACACACCGCCCGUCACACCAUGGGAGUGGGCUGCAAAAGAAGUAGGUAGUUUAACCUUCGGGAGGACGCUUACCACUUUGUGGUUCAUGACUGGGGUGAAGUCGUAACAAGGUAGCGCUAGGGGAACCUGGCGCUGGAUCACCUCCUUAUACGAUGAUUAUUCACGAUGAGUGUCCACACAGAUUGAUAGUUCACAAGCGAAAGCUUGUAGCUAACAUAGCUCUUUAACAAUUUGGAAAGCUGACAAAUCAACAAUUUAUUGUUGAUUGUAAAGUUCUCAAUGUUUGUCUUUAUGACAAACACCAAUACAACACAUUCAAGUGUUCUUGGAAUUUGAGUCCGGCAAAAUCGAGUCUGCAUCAUGUAUAAAAAUUGCAGACAACUUUGGUGACUUGUUCAUCAACUCGAAACUCCUUCGGGUUGUAUGGUUAAGUGACUAAGCGUACACGGU
rnacentral:sRNA from 1 species